GAGGUAGGAGGAUUGCUUGAGCCUGGGAGUUUGAGGCUGCAGUGAACUAUAAUCAUACCACUACACUCCAGCCUGAGUGACAGAGCAAGACCCUGUCU
ensembl:miRNA